rnacentral:lncRNA from 1 species
GAAAAUUUCAGGGCAGAUAGAUUUUGACCUGAUCAACAAUUUUACCCCCAUGUCAGAUUUGCUCUAAAUGCUUUGGUUUUAAAGAUAUAAGCCAAAAUAUACAUUUUACCCCUGUGUUCUAUUUUUAGCCAUGGCGGCCAUUUUGGUUUGAUGGCCAGGUCAUCGGACACAUUUUUUAAACUAGAUACCCCAAGGAUAACUGUGGCCAAGUUUGGUUAAAUUUGGCCCAGUAGUU